rnacentral:rRNA from 1 species
AGAGUUUGAUCCUGGCUCAGGAUGAACGCUGGCGGCGUGCUUAACACAUGCAAGUCGAACGAUUAACCCGCCCUCGGGCGGUUAUAGAGUGGCGAACGGGUGAGUAACACGUAGGUAACCUGCCCAUGUGCCCGGGAUAACUUCUGGAAACGGAUGCUAAAACCGGAUAGGUAGCAGACAAGCAUUUGACUGCUAUUAAAGUGGCUAAGGCCAUGAACAUGGAUGGACCUGCGGUGCAUUAGCUAGUUGGUGAGGUAACGGCCCACCAAGGCGACGAUGCAUAGCCGGCCUGAGAGGGCGGACGGCCACAUUGGGACUGAGACACGGCCCAAACUCCUACGGGAGGCAGCAGUAGGGAAUUUUCGUCAAUGGGGGGAACCCUGAACGAGCAAUGCCGCGUGAGUGAGGAAGGUCUUCGGAUCGUAAAGCUCUGUUGUAAGAGAAAAACGGCACUCAUAGGGAAUGAUGAGUGAGUGAUGGUAUCUUACCAGAAAGUCACGGCUAACUACGUGCCAGCAGCCGCGGUAAUACGUAGGUGGCGAGCGUUAUCCGGAAUGAUUGGGCGUAAAGGGUGCGUAGGUGGCAGAUCAAGUCUGGAGUAAAAGGUAUGGGCUCAACCCGUACUUGCUCUGGAAACUGAUCAGCUAGAGAACAGAAGAGGACGGCGGAACUCCAUGUGUAGCGGUAAAAUGCGUAGAUAUAUGGAAGAACACCGGUGGCGAAGGCGGCCGUCUGGUCUGGAUUCUGACACUGAAGCACGAAAGCGUGGGGAGCAAAUAGGAUUAGAUACCCUAGUAGUCCACGCCGUAAACGAUGAGAACUAGGUGUUGGGGGAAUAACUCAGUGCCGCAGUUAACGCAAUAAGUUCUCCGCCUGGGGAGUAUGCACGCAAGUGUGAAACUCAAAGGAAUUGACGGGGGCCCGCACAAGCGGUGGAGUAUGUGGUUUAAUUCGAAGCAACGCGAAGAACCUUACCAGGCCUUGACAUCCCUUGCAGAGGUAUAGAGAUAUAUCCGAGGUUAUCAAGGAGACAGGUGGUGCAUGGUUGUCGUCAGCUCGUGUCGUGAGAUGUUGGGUUAAGU